UACGUAGGGUGCAAGCGUUGUCCGGAUUUAUUGGGCGUAAAGCGCGUGUAGGCGGCCAGAUAAGUCCGCUGUGAAAUCUCGAGGCUCAACUUCGAGCUGUCGGUGGAAACUAUCUGGCUAGAGUCCGGAAGAGGAGAAUGGAAUUCCUGGUGUAGCGGUGAAAUGCGCAGAUAUCAGGAAGAACACCCGUGGCGAAGGCGGUUCUCUGGGACGGUACUGACGCUGAGACGCGAAAGCGUGGGGAGCGAACAGG
rnacentral:rRNA from 1 species